AGCAUUGCACAGUGGCAGUGUUGUAGCCAGGGAGGUUUAUCCAAGGUGCAAAGAUUGUUCAUUAAAACUUUUCCCAAUACCCCACCAUGAUGACUUGAAAUAGGCAAAAAAAAGAGAGCUCCCUGUACAUUUUAUGACAAAGUAAGAUACC
ensembl:snRNA U4 U4 spliceosomal RNA